rnacentral:rRNA from 1 species
GGGAAACUGCCUGAUGGAGGGGGAUAACUACUGGAAACGGUAUCUAAUACCGCAUAACGUCGCAAGACCAAAGAGGGGGACCUUCGGGCCUCUUGCCAUCAGAUGUGCCCAUAUGGGAUUAUCUAAUAGGUGGGGUAACGGCUCACCUAGGCCACUAUCCCUAUCUGGUCUGAGAGGAUGACCACCCACUCUGGAACUGAGACACGGCCCACACUCCUACGGGAGGCAGCAGUGGGGAAUAUUGCACAGUGGGCGCAAGCCUGAUGCACCCAUGCCGCGUGUAUGAAAAAGGCCUUCGGGUUGUAAAGUACUUUCCGCGGGGAAGAAGGCGAUAGGGUUAAUAACCUUGUCUAUUGACGUUACCCGCAAAAAAAGCACCGGCUAUCUCCGUGCCAGCACCCGCGGUAAUACGGAGGGUGCAAGCGUUUAUCGGAAUUACUGGGCGUAAAGCGCACGCACGCGGUCUGUCAAGUCAGAUGUGAAAUCCCCGGGCUCAACCUGGGAACUGCAUUCGAAACUGGCACGCUAGAGUCUUGUAGAGGGGGGUAGAAUUCCGUGUGUAGCGGAGAUAUGCGUAGAGAUCUGGAGGAAUACCGGUGGCGAACGCGGCCCCCUGGACAAAGACUGACGCUCGUGUGCGAAAGCGUGGGGAGCAAACGAGAUUAUAUACCCUGGUACUCCACGCCGUACACUAUGUCGACUUGGAGGUUGUGCCCUUGACGCGUGUCUUCCAGAUCUAACGCGUUAACUCCACCGCCUGGAGAGUACGGCCGCAAGGAUAAAACUCAUAAUGAAUUUGACGGGGCGCCCGCACAAGC